rnacentral:rRNA from 1 species
CCUACGGGGGGCAGCAGUGGGGAAUAUUGGACAAUGGGGGAAACCCUGAUCCAGCCAUGCCGCGUGUGUGAAGAAGGCCCUCGGGUUGUAAAGCACUUUCAGUGAGGAAGAACGCCUGGUGGUUAAUACCCAUCAGGAAAGACAUCACUCACAUAAGAAGCAGCGGCUAACUCCGUGCCAGCAGCCGCGGUAAUACGGAGGGUGCGAGCGUUAAUCGGAAUUACUGGGCGUAAAGCGCGCGUAGGUGGCUUGAUAAGCCGGUUGUGAAAGCCCCGGGCUCAACCUGGGAACGGCAUCCGGAACUGUCAAGCUAGAGUGCAGGAGAGGAAGGUAGAAUUCCCGGUGUAGCGGUGAAAUGCGUAGAGAUCGGGAGGAAUACCAGUGGCGAAGGCGGCCUUCUGGACUGCCACUGACACUGAGGUGCGAAAGCGUGGGUAGCAAACAGGAUUAGAUACCCCGGUAGUC